AGAGUUUGAUCAUGGCUCAGAUUGAACGCUGGCGGCAGGCUUAACACAUGCAAGUCGAGCGGGGUGAUGUAGCUUGCUACAUUACCUAGCGGCGGACGGGUGAGUAAUGCUUAGGAAUCUGCCUAUUAGUGGGGGACAACAUUCCGAAAGGAAUGCUAAUACCGCAUACGCCCUACGGGGGAAAGCAGGGGAUCUUCGGACCUUGCGCUAAUAGAUGAGCCUAAGUCAGAUUAGCUAGUUGGUGGGGUAAAGGCCUACCAAGGCGACGAUCUGUAGCGGGUCUGAGAGGAUGAUCCGCCACACUGGGACUGAGACACGGCCCAGACUCCUACGGGAGGCAGCAGUGGGGAAUAUUGGACAAUGGGCGAAAGCCUGAUCCAGCCAUGCCGCGUGUGUGAAGAGGGCCUUUUGGUUGUAAAGCACUUUAAGCGAGGAGGAGGCUACUUGGAUUAAUACUCUAGGAUAGUGGACGUUACUCGCAGAAUAAGCACCGGCUAACUCUGUGCCAGCAGCCGCGGUAAUACAGAGGGUGCGAGCGUUAAUCGGAUUUACUGGGCGUAAAGCGUGCGUAGGCGGCUUUUUAAGUCGGAUGUGAAAUCCCUGAGCUUAACUUAGGAAUUGCAUUCGAUACUGGGAAGCUAGAGUAUGGGAGAGGAUGGUAGAAUUCCAGGUGUAGCGGUGAAAUGCGUAGAGAUCUGGAGGAAUACCGAUGGCGAAGGCAGCCAUCUGGCCUAAUACUGACGCUGAGGUACGAAAGCAUGGGGAGCAAACAGGAUUAGAUACCCUGGUAGUCCAUGCCGUAAACGAUGUCUACUAGCCGUUGGGGCCUUUGAGGCUUUAGUGGCGCAGCUAACGCGAUAAGUAGACCGCCUGGGGAGUACGGUCGCAAGACUAAAACUCAAAGGAAUUGACGG
rnacentral:rRNA from 1 species